rnacentral:rRNA from 1 species
AUUGAACGCUGGCGGCAUGCUUUACACAUGCAAGUCGAACGGCAGCGCGGGCUUCGGCCUGGCGGCGAGUGGCGAACGGGUGAGUAAUGCAUCGGAACGUGCCCAGUAGUGGGGGAUAGCCCGGCGAAAGCCGGAUUAAUACCGCAUACGACCUGAGGGUGAAAGCGGGGGACCGAAAGGCCUCGCGCUAUUUGAGCGGCCGAUGUCGGAUUAGCUAGUUGGUGGGGUAAAGGCUUACCAAGGCGACGAUCCGUAGCUGGUCUGAGAGGACGACCAGCCACACUGGGACUGAGACACGGCCCAGACUCCUACGGGAGGCAGCAGUGGGGAAUUUUGGACAAUGGGGGCAACCCUGAUCCAGCCAUGCCGCGUGCGGGAAGAAGGCCUUCGGGUUGUAAACCGCUUUUGUUCGGGAAGAAAUCCUCUGGGAUAAUACCCCGGGGGAUGACGGUACCGGAAGAAUAAGCACCGGCUAACUACGUG